UUUUCCCAAAAAAUGGCCAUCGAUUUAAGGUGAUUUUCCAAUAAGAAAAUGCUUCCUAUUUCGAAUUUUUUCGAAUAUUUCCUAAACUAAGCGUCGGAGCACAUGGCCGUGGAGGAACUUUUGGUAGCUUUUGGCAAGGGCUAUCGGAUGAAAUAAUGCGAAAGGCCAUCGGAGCGAUAUUGGAUUAAUGCGGGCCCAUAAACGUACCUAAGAAGUGAAAAUUGGUACCUUGCACGCAGGAUGCAAGAAAUGCUUGAGUGUUAACCAUCAUCGGUACCAAGUACCUAGGUUAUAUCGAGUGCGUAGAUGGAAGUCGGUACCAAAGGGAAACCUUCCUAGGCUAGGUGCACGCAAGUGAGUAUGGAUCGAUCAGUAGAAAGAUGGGAAGCCCAAGGAAACCUUCCUAGGCUAGGUGCACGCAAGUGAGUAUGGAUCGAUCAGUAGAAAGAUGGGAAGCCCAAGGAAACCUUCCUAGGCUAGGUGCACGCAAGUGAGUAUGGAUCGAUCAGUAGAAAGAUGGGAAGCCCAAGGAAACCUUCCUAGGCUAGGUGCACGCAAGUGAGUAUGGAUCGAUCAGUAGAAAGAUGGGAAGCCCAAGGAAACCUUCCUAGGCUAGGUGCACGCAAGUGAGUAUGGAUCGAUCAGUAGAAAGAUGGGAAGCCCAAGGAAACCUUCCUAGGCUAGGUGCACGCAAGUGAGUAUGGAUCGAUCAGUAGAAAGAUGGGAAGCCCAAGGAAACCUUCCUAGGCUAGGUGCACGCAAGUGAGUAUGGAUCGAUCAGUAGAAAGAUGGGAAGCCCAAGGAAACCUUCCUAGGCUAGGUGCACGCAAGUGAGUAUGGAUCGAUCAGUAGAAAGAUGGGAAGCCCAAGGAAACCUUCCUAGGCUAGGUGCACGCAAGUGAGUAUGGAUCGAUCAGUAGAAAGAUGGGAAGCCCAAGGAAACCUUCCUAGGCUAGGUGCACGCAAGUGAGUAUGG